AGCGAACGCUGGCGGCAGGCCUAACACAUGCAAGUCGAACGGAUCCUUCGGGAUUAGUGGCGGACGGGUGAGUAACACGUGGGAACGUGCCCUUUGGUUCGGAACAACUCAGGGAAACUUGAGCUAAUACCGGAUGUGCCCUUCUGGGGAAAGAUUUAUCGCCAUUGGAGCGGCCCGCGUCUGAUUAGCUAGUUGGUGAGGUAACGGCCCACCAAGGCGACGAUCAGUAGCUGGUCUGAGAGGAUGAUCAGCCACACUGGGACUGAGACACGGCCCAGACUCCUACGGGAGGCAGCAGUGGGGAAUCUUGCGAAAUGGGCGAAAGCCUGACGCAGCCAUGACGCGUGAAUGAUGAAGGUCUUAGGAUUGUAAAAUUCUUUCAGCGGGGACGAUAAUGACGGUACCCGCAGAAGAAGCUCCGGCUAACUUCGUG
rnacentral:rRNA from 1 species